AUUGAACGCUGGCGGCAGGCUUAACACAUGCAAGUCGAACGAUAGGCGGACGGGUGAGUAGUGCUUGGGGAUCUAGCUUAUGGAGGGGGAUAAUUACGGGAAACUGUAGCUAAUACCGCGUACGCUAGGUUGAGGCCAAGUGGGAUUAGGUAGUUGGUGUGUUCAAGGCUCAACAAGACGACGAUCUCUAGCUGGUCUGAGAGGAUGACCAGCCACACUGGGACGGAGACACGGCCCAGAUUCCUACGGGAGGCAGCAGUAGGGAAUAUUGCGCAAUUGGAGCAACCGGACGGUGCCAAGCCGCGUGAAUGCAGAAGGUUUUCGGGUAGUAAAGGUCUGUUGGUAGCGAAGCGGUAACUACAGAAGAAGCACCGGCUAACUCCGUGCCAGCAGCCGCGGUAAUAC
rnacentral:rRNA from 1 species